UGAUAGGCAGGGUGUGUAAGCGUUGUGAGGCGUUGAGCUAACCUGUACUAAUGACCCGUGAGGCUUAACCAUACAACACCCAAUGGGUUU
rnacentral:rRNA from 1 species